GACGAACGCUGGCGGCGUGCUUAACACAUGCAAGUCGAACGGAGUUCCUCGGAUCAAGGCUUCGGCCAAGUGAACUGGAACUUAGUGGCGGACUGGUGAGUAACGCGUGAGGAACCUGCCUUUCAGUGGGGGACAACAGUUGGAAACGACUGCUAAUACCGCAUAAUGUGCCGGGAGGGCAUCCUCCUGGUACCAAAGCUUUAUGUGCUGAAAGAUGGUCUCGCGUCUGAUUAGCUAGAUGGCGGGGUAACGGCCCACCAUGGCGACGAUCAGUAGCCGGUCUGAGAGGAUGAACGGCCACAUUGGGACUGAGAUACGGCCCAGACUCCUACGGGAGGCAGCAGUGGGGAAUAUUGGGCAAUGGGGGGAACCCUGACCCAGCAACGCCGCGUGGAGGAAGAAGGUUUUCGGAUCGUAAACUCCUGUCCUCAGGGAAGAGCAAGAGACGGUACCUGAGGAGGAAGCCCCCGGGCUAACUACGUG
rnacentral:rRNA from 1 species